UACGUAGGGACCGAGCGUUGUCCGGAAUCAUUGGGCGUAAAGAGCGUGUAGGCGGCCACUUAAGUCCUGCGUGAAAUCUUGCGGCUCAACCGCAAGCGGUCGUGGGAAACUGGGUGGCUAGAGUGCGGGAGAGGAGAGUGGAAUUCCUGGUGGAGUGGUGGAAAUGCGUAGAGAUCAGGAAGAACACCCGUGGCGAAGGCGGCCCACUGGGCCGGUGCUGACGCUGAGGCGCGAAGGCGUGGGGAGCGAACGGG
rnacentral:rRNA from 1 species